rnacentral:tRNA from 1 species
GGGAGCGGUAGCUUAACAGUAGAGCGCUGCGUUGUGACCGCAGAUGCGCCGGGGCAGCACCGGCCCGUCCCCCCA